rnacentral:rRNA from 1 species
UNUGGCUUAACUGGGGGCUUGCGGUGGGUACGGGCCGGCUUGAGUGCGGUAGGGGAGACUGGAACUCCUGGUGUAGCGGUGGAAUGCGCAGAUAUCAGGAAGAACACCGGUGGCGAAGGCGGGUCUCUGGGCCGUUACUGACGCUGAGGAGCGAAAGCGUGGGGAGCGAACAGGAUUAGAUACCCUGGUAGUCCACGCCAUAAACGUUGGGCACUAGGUGUGGGGGGCCUUUUCCGGGUCUUCCGCGCCGUAGCUAACGCAUUAAGUGCCCCGCCUGGGGAGUACGGCCGCAAGGCUAAAACUCAAAGGAAUUGACGGGGGCCCGCACAAGCGGCGGAGCAUGCGGAUUAAUUCGAUGCAACGCGAAGAACCUUACCAAGGCUUGACAUGUGCCGGUCGGCUCCGGAGACGGGGUUUCCUCCUUGUGGGGCCGGUUCACAGGUGGUGCAUGGUUGUCGUCAGCUCGUGUCGUGAGAUGUUGGGUUAAGUCCCGCAACGAGCGCAACCCUUGUCCCGUGUUGCCAGCACGUUGUGGUGGGGACUCGCGGGAGACUGCCGGGGUCAACUCGGAGGAAGGUGGGGAUGACGUCAAAUCAUCAUGCCCCUUAUGUCUUGGGCUUCACGCAUGCUACAAUGGCCGGUACAGAGGGCUGCGAUACCGUGAGGUGGAGCGAAUCCCUUAAAGCCGGUCUCAGUUCGGAUCGGUGUCUGCAACUCGACACCGUGAAGUUGGAGUCGCUAGUAAUCGCAGAUCAGCAACGCUGCGGUGAAUACGUUCUCGGGCCUUGUACACACCGCCCGUCACGUCAUGAAAGUCGGC